GAAAAGUUUCCUGGGGCGGAGCUGAGCCACGCGGGCCGCGCAGGAGCGUCUGUCCGAGGGUCGCCUACGAGGGACUCCUCUGCUCGGCUGCGCGGGCUUCUGCGUUGAUGAAGUCACCGCGUUCCGGGUCGGAGCUUCGGCGCUUCUGCCCCGAACCCAGCGAAGCCCGGUCCUAUGCCCCCAAUUACCCAACGGUCCCUCAUCGCCCAGCGCAGCUGCUGCCUGGCCAGGCCCUUGCUCCGGAGGAGUCACUGGAAAGUUCCAGGGAAUCUGGGCCUCCCGGACUCUCCACCGGCGUUUCACUGCUCCCUUCCCAUGCCAGGACUCCUCUGUGCCUACCUGGCUGAGGGCAGUGCAGAAUCCGGGCCUUGGAAAGGACACUGGUGCCACCCUUCACUGGGGAAAGGUGCAAGGGGCGGGGGAUAUACCAUGCCGAGCCUUCGCUCUGUGCUCUGUGCAGGUGCUUGACCCAGGCCAGCUCUGGAAUCGCCCCAGGCCAUGUGAGAGCCGUGGGGGGUGAGAGGGGCGGGAAGCACUUCACAGGUGAGGCCUCCCUGGGAGGGGCAGCCAGUGAGGGGGUGGAAGGGCAGAGCCAGGAGGACCAUGGCUUGGGGCUCAGUCUCCCAGGCGAACCAUAGCUUGGGGCUUAAGUCCCCCAAGCAGCCCUUUCACCCCCAGGCCUCCAGGAUCUUUGCCAACGGUCUUGAGGAGCCAGGCACAGGAUUGGACUCUGCCCGGGCAGGAGGAUGAAGACAGUGACUUCCCCACCAAGACUCCCGGCAGAGGGCCAGAGGCAGGGAAGUGUGGUGGCAGGAGGGCCAGCCUUGCCGUGGCUGGACCAGGGGCCAGCGCUUGCUAACUCGGGGUCCUGGCCGAGUUGUGUGGCCUCUCCGACCCUCGGUCUCCUCAUCUGUAAGAUGGGUCCCACAGCCCCUCCCCGGGGAGGUGUUUGCAGGGCUCCAUGAGAAGGCCUUACACACACUGUGGCUAUGGUGAUCUGUGAGCCGGUCAGAGGACCCGAGAGGCAGCAGGGUGACUCAGCAGUUUCCCUGCCGGGCCGCCCCUGGGUCAUCGUCCCCUAGAGCCUCUCCCUGAGGGGUGUGAGGGAGCGGAUCCCAUUAAGAGGCGAAGGAGGCAGGGAGGUCCUGGAACCAGCGGGGCCUAUGGCGGCCGGCGGGGAAGGAGGCGCCGGCAGUGCUGCCACCUAGCGGUGUGAGGAGGCGGUGCUGCACCAGGGAGGCCCUUCCUGCAACCGGAGUGGGCCUGGAAGGGGCCGGCUUCGCACACUAGGAGCCAGCAGGGCAGGGAGGGGCUCCGGACCGGACCGUGUCGGCUCCAGGAACCCCUUGGGCAGCCUUGUGGACACCUGCUGACCUCUCUCAGAAUGGCUUCUAAGUGCAUAGAUGAAAAAGCCCAGGAUUAUUAGGAAACCAAUUCUAUGCAAAUGCAUUAUCAAAA
rnacentral:lncRNA from 1 species